rnacentral:lncRNA from 1 species
AGGCUGCUCUAUACAUGUGCUGGGGCUGGGAAUGUUAAUCAGUGCCUCUAAGAAUUCUUCAGAAGCUUGGGAAGAAGUUGAUGAGUUCAAGGCCAGACCACGCUACACAGAGGGAUCCCAUUUCAAAGAAACAUGAAGUUCUACAGAGUUUCUUUCCCAAGAAUUUCUUAACACAUUUUCAGACUGGCUUUUGAAGUGCUCCCUAGAGAACCACUACAAGACAGCGACUGAUGUGCAGAAAACCCGCCGUUCACUACAGGAAAUCAUCAUUGGCACAGCCAUGGGGGCCCUUUCCAGAAGUUCCUUGGGGACU